GGUUGUGGCUUAGUGGUAGCGUGCUUGCCUAGCACACAGUGAGGCACUGAGUUCAAUCCUCAGCACCA
rnacentral:tRNA from 1 species